GGAGCUGUGCCCGAAUGUUUAAGGACCACUUUGAUAGAGUGAACUAUGAGAGCUAAAAUCCCUCCAGCUCUU
rnacentral:tRNA from 1 species